GGUUAAGCGACUAAGCGUACACGGUGGAUGCCCUGGCAGUCAGAGGCGAUGAAGGACGUGCUAAUCUGCGAAAAGCGUCGGUAAGGUGAUAUGAACCGUUAUAACCGGCGAUGUCCGAAUGGGGAAACCCAGUGCAAUUCGUUGCACUAUCGUUAACUGAAUACAUAGGUUAACGAGGCGAACCGGGGGAACUGAAACAUCUAAGUACCUCGAGGAAAAGAAAUCAACCGAGAUUCCCCCAGUAGCGGCGAGCGAACGGGGAGCAGCCCAGAGUCUGAAUCAGCUUGUGUGUUAGUGGAACGGUCUGGAAAGUCCGACGGUACAGGGUGAUAGUCCCGUACACCAAAAUGCACAGGUUGUGAACUCGAAGAGUAGGGCGGGACACGUGGUAUCCUGUCUGAAUAUGGGGGGACCAUCCUCCAAGGCUAAAUACU
rnacentral:rRNA from 1 species